rnacentral:rRNA from 1 species
UACAGAGGGUGCGAGCGUUGUCCGGAAUUACUGGGCGUAAAGCGUGCGCAGGCGGUGAUGUAAGACCGAUGUGAAAUCCCCGGGCUUAACCUGGGAACUGCAUUGGUGACUGCAUCGCUCGAGUAUGGCAGAGGGGGGUAGAAUUCCACGUGUAGCAGUGAAAUGCGUAGAGAUGUGGAGGAAUACCGAUGGCGAAGGCAGCCCCCUGGGUCAAUACUGACGCUCAUGCACGAAAGCGUGGGGAGCAAACAGG